CGCCGUUAGAUAUAUCUCCUUUGACAUCAAGAUUCGCGUAGAUUGUGUUAUUGAUUAUAGUGUGCAUGCAACGAGUGAGGAACUCUGAAAAUAACAACUCUCUAUGUAUUAGGCAGCCGAGUUUAUUGUAUAUGAUUCUACCAUCCCUGGCGUCACUCAUGGCUGAAAUGGACAUGUUAGGAUGGGAUUGUAUCAGAUGUUAUGGUCGAUAGUGACUGCUGGGACGAUGCAGAGGUGUUGCUCGUGUCUCUCCAUAGCUCCAACUGGUUUCCGGUGGCUCGGGUUUAGCUGCAGAUGAAUACAGGCUUGCCUCCGCCGAGAAGGUUCCAUGGUACACGUCCGGAGUACGCUUGGGUGGUGCUUCGGAAAGUCGCCGAGCGAAUACGUCGGGAGGACGAUUAGGUGUUUCGUGAAGUCCUCGAGCAAAGACGUCGGAGUUGCAGCACAGGAGGAGGAGAUGGAAGGCGAUGAUGCAGUAAUAGAGUUUUGGAUCCAUCAGAAAUGUUGAAGUUGCAAGUCUCUGGUGGUGCCGAAGAGCAAUGAAGAGGUU
rnacentral:lncRNA from 1 species